UAUUAAAGAUGUAAUCCAUUUUACUGUUAACAAUUGGUGUAGUUGAUGGAAUAACCAAACUGUUCCAUGUGACUUGCCACGUGUACCUUAUGCUGAUAUAUAAGGACACCAGUUUUCUAACAGUAGAAAUGGAUGAAAUUUUUAACA
rfam:Gossypium raimondii Chr05_contig_1340, whole genome shotgun sequence.